GAUGAUGAAACAGAAACCACAGUAGAUGAUCUUCCUUCCUUAACAUCAAUUGGAAGUCCUCCAAUAGUGAGUAAGAAAGAGGACCAGGAGAUCGUACCCUUCCUUGAGAAGCCUCUGGUUCCUGACACCACACCGUCAGACAAAGGUACAACAGAAGACUUUUUUCAGACAUAAAAAAUCCAUAAUUAAAGUGCUUAACUUGGUUUGCAGCAGAUUUUAAAAAAAAAGUUAAAAGACAAUGACUUUUAAAGAUGUGCCUGAAAGAAGAGGAGAAUUUGAAAGGUCUCCAUCUCGGACGUCUGAGAAUGAAGAUCGAAUUACUGAUCAGGAGGAACAGGAUUCAGAAGCUGUUGAGUCUGAAGUCACAGACACCAUGAUUGAGGAACCUCAGACAGAGCUGAAGAGGAUUAUUCCAGUCAGGUGUGCAGUGGCAGAUGAAUCAAUAGAUUGCUCAAAUUAACAGGGUUUGUCUUGAAUGUUUUUAACAAUGCCUUUGCUCUGUGGUGUCAUCUGUACAGCUGUUCUGCUGAUGGUUCCUCAGUUUAUGCUCAGGGCAGUAUUGCCCCAGAGAGACGCGGUCAGUUUGAUAAGCAAACACCCACCAACCUGGAAGGGGCAUCUCUGGUCAUGAUAAACCCUCAACAGACCUCAGAGCCUAAUGAAGAUCCUGCUGAGAAGCCUGAACAUAAGAGUCCUGUUAAAGCCAAGCAUAGUGAUUUGGAUCAUGACAAAGAGUAGAUCUCCAGAGAAGAGAAGCUUCUGUCAUCUGAAGGAAGUUUACAGGAACAUAAACAGGAUGAGGAUCUCCUGUCCCCUGUCCCAUUACUUAGCUUAAAACAAACUUCAGCCACAAAAGUUCUUGUGGACGGUUUCCUUCACAUUAGAGCCUUCCAGGUACAUUUCCCUUCCAGUCUAGAUUUAAUUCGGUAAUUUAAUUCAAAAUCCUUGAUCAUCCAUUCCUUUCAUCCUUGAUGACCUUGUUUUGUAGUGCAUCUCUGAACAUGGCGUCUGAAGAGACCAGUAAUCUAUGUAAAAGUAGUUCUCGCAAGGUGGUGGAUGACUCCCUGGAUCCUCUUUCAAAGGAAGAAGCAGAUGAUGUUAGCACACAAUUGAUAUCCUUACUGGAAAGCAGUUGUGAUGAUGUGAACUCUUUAAUUAGUCCACCCGGGAUGUUCUCUUGUAAUUCUGCCAUGCUGAAGUUGGAUGAGAUCCUGACAGAAUCCCCAGAAACUAAAGCACCUACUCAAAGGAGAUGCAAGAUAAAGGUCAAGCCAAAACUAAAGCCAUGUGUGAAGGUUGGGCCUUCAAGAAAUGGCCAGUUUGACUGUGCACCCAGUCAGAAUAAACCAACAUCUCAAGCCACAGCACAAACUGAGAUUGAGUCCAACCAGAAACUAUCUGUGCAGGAAACAGUUGGUCCUGAAAGCCACUCAAGCCUUGAAGACAGUGAGAGGGAAGCCCAUCCUGGACCUGAUGACGUGAUAUCAACAGCCAUUGUGCCAGUGUCUGAAGAUAUGAGAGAUGAGAGUCACCCUGAAGUGGGAAUGUCCUCUCAGAACAGAACUCCAGAGGAAUGA
ensembl:lncRNA